CCUACGGGAGGCAGCAGUAGGGAAUAUUGCUCAAUGGGGAAACCCUGAAGCAGCAACGCCGCGUGGAGGAUGAAGGUUUUCGGAUUGUAUACUCCUCUUGUUAGAGAAGAUAAUGACGGUAUCUAACGAAUAAGCACCGGCUAACUCCGUGCAAGCAGCCGCGGUAAUACGGAGGGCGGCAGCGUUACUCGGAAUCACUGGGCGUAAAGAGCGCGUAGGCGGGAUAGCAAGUCAGAUGUGAAAUCCUAUGGCUUAACCAUAGAACUGCAUUUGACACUGGUAUUCUAGGGUAUGGGAGAGGUAGGUGAAAGUCUUGGGGUAGGGGUAAAUGCAGAAGAGAUAAAGAGGAAUA
rnacentral:rRNA from 1 species